ACCUGGGUCACACAGUUGAGAGAAGUUAGGUCCUCCGUCCACCAGGGUCUCCUGCUCUUGCUCUAACGUCCACACAGACCACCACUGUCCUCUGCUCUGUCUCUGUUAGGACCUCCUUCUGAGGAGGAACAUUGUCUCCACCUCCUCACCUUCAACAUGUUCGUUAUUGUCUGAAAAACUGACAUUAGUCUGGAAAUUAACCCUGUGCUCAGCACUGCUCUCUAGUGGAUGUAUUGCUUUAAAAUACUAUUACUAUACUAUUAUUACUAUACCAAACGUAGGGCGCGAAAAUAAUUAAUGGCAUUUCGGCUGGUUCUCGUGUAUCGGCUCCCUAAUAAUGCACGUUAAGAUCUCAAAUGGCUCCUUAUAGUUUUUUUUUUUUGCUUAAAUAAAUAUACUACUAUACUACAGUUAAAUGCAAAAUUAUGUUUUAUGUAUUAUGUAAACAACACAAAUAAACCACGGGUUGCAGGACGCAGGUCUAGGUUCUCGAUCCUGCUCGAAUCAUUCACUUAAGAGGAACGGUUCUGAGAGACGGUUCGUUCGCGACCGAGCCAUCACGAGCGUACGGGAACGUACGACGUUUACGGACGUACUUUUCUACGUAAAGGAAGUGCAAACCAAACAGACCGAUAGCGCCACAACGUCCGGGACUGCUUCACUGCUAAGAGAGUUUUUGUUGCUAAAACGUUAGCGACGUUAACGGAGACUAAAGGAAAAUACAAACAUUCACUGAAAAGUGACGGGGAAUUUAAAGGACAAAAAUAGGAGCACUGACUUCUACAACUAAAGGCUCUAAUGUGAACACUUCUCAGAGCCUCCUGCUCUACCAUCCAAGUGCUGCCGUUUACAACGUGUCCGUUAAAAGGUGCCAGCUGGUCUGGACUCGGGAAGCUGCAGCUCCUGGAAGAAGGAAACAGAAGAGAGAGAGGAAGUGUUGGAGUCCGGACCAUGUCCUCAGCCCUGUGUGGUGUGGACACCUCCUCUGAAGGACCAGUGGCAACACACAUCCUCCAGAUACUGCUCUCCUGUUCUGAUGAAGCCGAUUGUCCACCUUUACACCCCCUCGUUUCCCCGAGGCUGACUGCUGAAGGUUCAUCUUCAAGUGUCCGUUCCCCGUGUCCCUGAAUCCCACUGGAACUCCAGCGGUCAGUCAUCCUUAGUCUUGGAGUGACACAGCAUCAGGGACCUGGACGGGGGUUAAUCAAAGUCUGAAGGGACUGUGUGAUGUCAGCGUUCAUCCAGGCCAACUUUCCUCUGACACACACUGCCUCAUUGAGGUGAGAGCACAGAGCAGUGUCACUGUUCACAUGGACCGAGAGGAAAAACUGGGUGGGAACGUGGAGCACUGACGGUCACAUUUAAAUGUGAGCUUAGACUUAAGGCUAAAUAAACUGUGGUUACACAUGUUUGCACGGUGUGUGUGUGUGGAAAUGCACUGAGAAAUCUAACUUGUUGCCUGCAGCAGCAGCACCGCACAGACCAACAGAGGCGUAUUGAGAGAACAUCUGUGGGUGGACUCUCUGCAACGCUGAACAAAGUGAAUGUUGUUGCUGCUUUCUGCGUGUUUUUAUGUUAUUUUCAGCGCUCAGAUGGUGCAGCAGGACAGACUGAUGACAGCCAAGAACACCACGUGAUGGGAAACACCUCUCAGUCAUGCUGCAGAGAAGCUGCUCCGCUCUGUACGGUAACACUGUUGUGAUUGUUGUGAAGCUUUGCCCUCAAGAUGCCUCCACAGACACUUCCUGCCCAUCUGGCCUCUGUUGUCACAGUGUGGAACAACAAGUGCACGCUGCUCACAGACCUGUGGUCAAGUCCUUGACUGGUUCCAGGUGUGCCAGGCUCAGGGGGGAGAAUGGUCAAACUCUUCAAUCAAGGGUCCCUCAAAUUGUUCCCAGUGUGGAUCAACAAGUCCAUGCUGCUCACAGACACGUGGUCCGAUCCUGGUCUGGUUCCAAAUGUGCUGCGCUCAGGCCUGGAUCCAAAAAAAGAUCUGUGGGCAGGUCAACGUGGCUCAAAGGUCAGGGUGUGGGUGUGGAACCGUCCAGCCGACCUUCUCUUCCCCUCUGCAGACAAGACAAAAGAAGUUGGGGGUUUGAGUCUCUGAGGUCAAGGGUGAGUGUAGUACUGUUCCAGGAGCCGGGCUGGGCCGGGCCACAGUUUAAAAAUGGAGCGGAACGCCGGCCAAGUUUCCACUUUCUGUGUCUUUAUGUUGAACAGAGGGUGUUUUCAGUAAAACACAGCAGAUGUCAAGGCUCAGUAGAAACUUCUGGACUUCAUCACCUGCAAUAACAAGUGAAUCACCCUGGCUGUUAACAAAGGACCUGCUCCACAGAGUCACACACGUUUCUUUCUGAAAGUCAAGUAUGUUUAGGGGCUAAAAUUAUUCAAAAUUAUCUUUUUUUAAUCAUAAUCAAGCACCAGGGAUGCUGGGAAAAAUUGAUUCCAAUUGGCAGGUGUCUUUUUUAGAGUAAAUAUGUGUUCUGACAGUGGCUGUGCUGAAGGUUGUUGGUUCAAGUCCAGCUUGUGCUCAGUUCUAAGUUGUAUUGCAUCGCUAUGGCGACCCUGAUGGAGGGCAGCAGGAGUGUUUUCUUGUUUUUCUUUUCUGUAAUUUUCUCGGAAAUAUUAACGAUCAUUUCCUGGACCGACUGGUAUAACUAAUUUGCUGAUCCAAAAAUGGGAUUCACUCUACAGUGUCUCGGUGUCGUAUUACACGUUGGAGAAGGAGCUUUGUCAUUCAAUCAGCCAGACAUGAAUAAUGCAGCCAAGAUAAGGUUCCUCUUCUCAGGUUACUACAGUGUUCUAGGAACUGAUUACAUUCACCUUGUUGUUGGUCAACCAAGAGUUUAUAUCUGCAGUAGAGCGGCCGCCAGGAGUCCAGCACUGACUCAAUAUCUACAGUAUUAUUUCAUUACCUGUGGUGACAAAGGCAGAAGUAGAUGAGUUGUUCUUCUCUGUUGUCAGAUUAACAUGGAUUUCAUAUGUGGACCCUGGAGUGGGAGGAUAACUGGUUCAGUCUGUCCAAGUAGCUGGGAAUACUUUUCCUACUUUUCCUCAAAUGUUUUCCUGUUUCCCUUUUGGCUGCCAUGUGUGUAGGCAUGCAAGGUCAAAAGGUCUCUAGAUGAGAUUUUUCAUGAAAGAAAAAAAAAUCAGAUGAGCUUCACUCAUUUGAACAGGUUUCCAUUGACAUUUGGUUAAAAAGUGACCUUUGCUUCAUUUCGGAGGCUUAAAUAAAAGAGUUGAUCAAAUCAAAGCUCAACACUGGACAAAGAUACGACGAUAAAACUGAUCAGAACUGUUGGAGGCGACUUAGAAAGGUAUCUUAUCUAGAACCUUUGAAGUCAUGACAUCUGUCCUAGAUCUUUUUGACUUACAGUCUCGUUCUCAGCUGAGCCAGUGUUUACUACAGGAGACAGUACUUUAUGUCCACAUUCAUGAAUAAAACACUAAUUUACCCACAUGGUUAUUUAAGCAGCUCCAUAUGAUGCAGUAAAGGCUGCUUACACUAUUCUUCCACGUUGGUGUUGUUAGUACUGUGGGGUGGGGGGGUAGAGGGGGGAGAGGUGGC